rnacentral:miRNA from 1 species
UUUGGGAAGCCGAGGCAGGAGGAUCACUUGAGCCCAGGAGUUUGAGACCAGCCUGGGCAACAUAGUGAGACCUCCAUCUCUACAAAAA